AGUGAACGCUGGCGGUAGGCCUAACACAUGCAAGUCGAACGGCAGCACAGUAAGAGCUUGCUCUUACGGGUGGCGAGUGGCGGACGGGUGAGGAAUACAUCGGAAUCUACUUUUUCGUGGGGGAUAACGUAGGGAAACUUACGCUAAUACCGCAUACGACCUACGGGUGAAAGCAGGGGAUCUUCGGACCUUGCGCGAUUGAAUGCGCCGAUGUCGGAUUAGCUAGUUGGCGGGGUAAAGGCCCACCAAGGCGACGAUCCGUAGCUGGUCUGAGAGGAUGAUCAGCCACACUGGAACUGAGACACGGUCCAGACUCCUACGGGAGGCAGCAGUGGGGAAUAUUGGACAAUGGGCGCAAGCCUGAUCCAGCCAUACCGCGUGGGUGAAGAAGGCCUUCGGGUUGUAAAGCCCCUUUGUUGGGAAAGAAAAGCAGCAGGUUAAUACCCCGCUGCUCUGACGGUACCCAAAGAAUAAGCACCGGCUAACUUCGUG
rnacentral:rRNA from 1 species